CUGAUGGCUGCUGAACAUCUCCGUCUCCAUGCCAAAUAUCUCCAUCCCAACACUGAAUGUGUCCUUCCCAGUGUUGAACUUCUCUAUCCCAAUGUUGAACAUCUCAACACUGAAUAUCUCCAUCCCAUUGCUGAACGUCUCCACCCCACUGCUGAACAUUUCCAUCCCAGUGUUGAAUAUCUCCACCCCAGUGCUGAACAUCGCCAUCCCAGUGCUGCGUAUCUCCAUCCCAACACUGAACAUCUCCACCCCCAGUGCUGAACUUUUCCAUCCCAAUGCUGAACAUCUCCAUCCCAGUUCUGAACAUCUCCAUCCCAAUACUGAACAUCUCCAUCCCAGUGCUGAACAUCUCUAUGCCAACGCUGAAUAUUUCCAUCUCCAUUUUCUGAGAAACACCCUGCAAGAGUCUCAGGAAGGCUGAGGACCUCAUGGUGACACCCAACAAGAAUGGACACUUCCCCCAGAGAUGUUCCCUGUUAGAAACAUAUGCCCAGUGCAGAGCCCUGGGGUAAAGCCAAGGCUGUGAUGCUCCCUGUUUUCCUCCCCGCGCCUGGCAAAGCUGUGCCCUCCAUCGGCCAAACAAUCCUGCCCUGCCCCCGUGCCCUCUGGUUGCAGCAAGGCUGUAGCAAAUCCGAGCAGGGGGACAACACAGUUCAACACAGUGUAAAACAGCAGUCGGAGCACGGCGGUGCAGAGGCAGUGCCCAAAGCAAACACACUGCUGCGAAAAAAACCUUCCCAGCUUAGUGCGCCCUUCUAAAAACACAGAGUGACUUCAGAAAAAUGUGAGAAAACAUGAGCUGCUCACCCCCAGAGGGAAAACAGAGCACAGGAGCCAUAGGAUGGAGCCUGCUGCCUGCAGCCGUGUCCCCAUGGCAGAGGAUCCUGGGGCCAUCGCGGUGCCUGGGAAGGGCUGAGCUCCCUU
rnacentral:lncRNA from 1 species